AAAAACUGUCCUGCAUCUGCAAGCACCGUGAUACCAGAGAAGAUAGCAAGUAAAAAGCAUUCAAAGACAAACGUCCGAAAUGCGGAACAAAACAGCGCUAGUUUGCUCGCCGCACGGACCAUUCAGCUCGGUCCACCAUCAGACAGUACUGCAAUUCGCUGCGAGAUCCAGAUUUCGACAUCAGAGAUGGAGGAAUUCAUAAAAACAACGGUCUACAAAGAGGAGCGCUUUAAAGGAAACAAAAAAGAGACUGAUAUAACAGUCCAUGUUUUAGAAAAGGAUUUAGAUGCCUGUGCAUUUAUACAGCAAAGACUCACUACCAUAAACACCUCCAAAGAUGCCAACUUCAGGACUGUGAAUUCUGCAAGUUUGCAAAAUCAA